rnacentral:rRNA from 1 species
UCACAUCCUGGGGCUGUAGCCGGUCCCAAGGGUAUGGCUGUUCGCCAUUUAAAGUGGUACGUGAGCUGGGUUUAAAACGUCGUGAGACAGUUUGGUCCCUAUCUGCCGUGGGCGUUGGAAGUUUGAAUGGGGCUGCUUCUAGUACGAGAGGACCGAAGUGGACGCACCUCUGGUGUACCGGUUAUAACGCCAGUUGUAUUGCCGGGUAGCUAAGUGCGGAAAAGAUAACCGCUGAAAGCAUCUAAGCGGGAAACUUGCCAUAAGAUAAGACUUCCCAAGGAUUUAAUCCUUCUAAAGGUUCGUUGGAGACUACAACGUUAAUAGGUCGAGUGUGUAAGCAUAGUAAUAUGUUCAGCUUAUCGAUACUAAUUGACCGUGUGGCUUGAUCCU